ACACACACACACACACACACACACACACACACUAGCAUAUAUGCAUGCAAGCAACACAUGCACAUGUCUAACUACACUUGCACACACAUGAACAUGCACACAUAUACAUAUAUACACACACAGACAAGAAAAUUAUGAUUGGAUCAUUUCACUAGUAAACUUAUUCCGAAUAAAAUCUUGUAAGAUACUCUACAGCAGUGGUUCUCAACCUUCUUGAUGCUGUGACCCUUUAAUACAGUUCCUCAUGAUGUGGUAAGUCUCCAAGUAUAAAAUUAUUUUCAUUGUGACUUCAUAACUAUUAUUUUGCUAGUUAUAAACUGUAAUAUAAAUAUCUGUGUUUUCUGAUUGUCUUACACCUGUCCCCUGUGAAAAGCUCAUUAGACCCUCAAAGGGGUUGCGACCCACAGGUUGAGAAUCACUGGUCUAGACUUUUAGAUAUUUAGAUAUUUAUGAAUGAAUGGUGUGGAAAUAGGAAAAGUUUUGGAUUUUAAUCUAAAAGCAUUUCCAGUUUGUGUCUGUGCAGAUGGCAUCCAAAUGUAUCCGUAAUACAUGUAGAGAAGCCAGUGAGCACAUCUGAAUGUGGAACACCAGCUGUCUCAGCCAUUCCCACUACCUUCUGUGUGAGCUUGUGGACAAAACAUUUAGAGAUUGAAGGUUGGUAAUGCUGAGCUGCUGGUGACUAAGCAAAGCCUGACACAGCUUCACAAGAGGUCCCUCAAACUCUGACCACCAUGGAGACUUGGCAAUCCAUUCAGACUACUUUGAGAAGCAGUUCAAAACUGAUUUGUGACUUAUGAUUCUC
ensembl:processed_transcript predicted gene 15270